rnacentral:tRNA from 2 species
GGCUUUAUAGUCUAUUAAUGAUUUUAGGUUGCAAAUCUAAAGGUGCUGUUUUGCUAAAGCUU